rnacentral:rRNA from 1 species
CCAGACUCCUACGGGAGGCAGCAGUGGGGAAUAUUGCACAAUGGGGGAAACCCUGAUGCAGCGACGCCGCGUGAGCGAUGAAGUAUUUCGGUAUGUAAAGCUCUAUCAGCAGGGAAGAAAAUGACGGUACCUGACUAAGAAGCCCCGGCUAACUACGUGCCAGCAGCCGCGGUAAUACGUAGGGGGCAAGCGUUAUCCGGAUUUACUGGGUGUAAAGGGGGCGUAGACGGCGAUGCAAGCCAGAUGUGAAAGCCCGGGGCUCAACCCCGGGACUGCAUUUGAAACUGUGCUGCUAGAGUGUCGGAGAGGCAGGCGGAAUUCCUAGUGUAGCGGUGAAAUGCGUAGAUAUCAGGAGGAACCCCGGUGGCGAAGGCGG